rnacentral:rRNA from 1 species
UGAGGAAUAUUGGGUCAAUUGGGCGGGAGCCUGAACCAGCCAAGUCGCGUGAGGGAAGACGGUCCUAUGGAUUGUAAACCUCUUUUGUCGGGGAGCAAAGAGGCCACGUGUGGUCAAAAGCGAGAGUACCCGAAGAAAAAGCAUCGGCUAACUCCGUGCCAGCAGCCGCGGUAAUACGGAGGAUGCGAGCGUUAUCCGGAUUUAUUGGGUUUAAAGGGUGCGUAGGCGGGACGGUAAGUCAGCGGUAAAAAUGCGGAGCUCAACUCCGUCGAGCCGUUGAAACUGCCGUUCUUGAGUGAGCGAGAAGUAUGCGGAAUGCGUGGUGUAGCGGUGAAAAUGCAUAGAUAUCACGCAGAACUCCGAUUGCGAAGGCAGCAUACCGGCGCUCAACUGACGCUGAAGCAACGAAGGCGUGGGUAUCGAACAGGAUUAGAUACC